UACAGAGGUGGCAAGCGUUGUUCGGAAUUACUGGGCGUAAAGGGCGCGUAGGCGCCUUGUAAGUCUCGUGUGAAAGCCCUCGGCUUAAACCUGGAGGAUCUGCACGGGAUACUGCGAGGCUUGAGUUCGGGAGAGGAAAGCGGAAUUCCGGGUGUAGCGGUGAAAUGCGUAGAUAAUCCGGAGGAACACCAGGGGCGAAAGCGGGCCGACUG
rnacentral:rRNA from 1 species